rnacentral:rRNA from 1 species
CUGACCGUGCAAAGGUAGCGUAAUCACUUGUCUUUUAAAUGGAGACCUGUAUGAAUGGCAUAACGAGGGCUUAACUGUCUCCUUUUUCAAGUCAAUGAAAUUGAUCUCCCCGUGCAGAAGCGGGGAUACACCCAUAAGACGAGAAGACCCUAUGGAGCUUAAGACGCCAAGGCAUAUCAUGUUAAACACCCCUAAACAAAGGGCCAAACCAAGUGAUAACGUAUGCCCUAAUGUCUUUGGUUGGGGCGACCGCGGGGAAACAAAAAACCCCCACGUGGAAUGGGAGCACCCCUCCUACAACCAAGAGCUGCAGCUCUAAUAAACAGAAUUUCUGACCAAUAAGAUCCGGCAACGCCGAUCAACGGACCGAGUUACCCUAGGGAUAACAGCGCAAUCCCCUUUAAGAGCCCAUAUCGACAAGGGGGUUUACGACCUCGAUGUUGGAUCAGGACAUCCUAAUGGUGCAGCCGCUAUUAAGGGUUCGUUGUCAACGAUUAAAGUCCUACGUGAUCUGAGUUCAGACCGGAG